rnacentral:lncRNA from 1 species
CCAGAGGCACAAUCGGCGGUGGCACAGCUGAACUUUCCAUUGUUGUUGAAGCAUCCGGUUCGGCCCCAAAAUCGACCAGACCAUGGUGAUGGAAGGUCCACUGAAAUAGUAACUCCAGAUCCCAACUCGAAACCUGUCGUUGAUAGCUGAGGUUUUUGGUCUCCGGUUAACGUUCCUGGCCAUACAGUGUAUUCACACCUAUUUGUGAACGUCACCUUAGCUCCUCCAACCACUGCAUAUACAAAUACAAAUGAAUUUAGUAAGCGCAUGAAGAGAAAUUAACUUAGCUAAGUGAAUUGAUUAAUUAUAUGGAAAAUUAAUGUAGUUAUGUAUUGAUAUAUGUACGUACCGUAGAAGAGGAAUGCAAAACUAAGGCACAGAGCAACACGGGUGCUUGUCAUUUUGGAUAUGGCUUUUGAUUAAUCUUGUUUUGCAGGCUUGUGAAUAUAUAUUAAUUAGUGAGAGUUUUUCGAUUGUAGUUUGUUGUGUGAAGGUGAUUUGAUGAAGUUGCUCUCUGCUUCUUUACAUAUAUAUAGAUUUCUAUCGAUGGUUUGAAUCGUCAUUCAACGAAUGUUUUAUUUGUUCUGGUCAAUAAAAAUAAAUUAUGUAUAGUAUUUGGUAACUUAUAUGGAACAAUUCUUAUAUUUAAGCCUCCAUGGAUCGGAAAAGUCUCAAAUAAUUUUUUUAGUAGUACUUUGGUCCGGUGUACGUAUUUUAGUGUUAGAUAUACAUAUUAAAAUUACAAAAAAGAAAGAAAAAAAAAAUCUGAAGUUGAUAUUGAGGUUGUUUGAUGAUUUUCUUAUAAUUUUAUGUGUAGCAAUCAUUCAACAUCAUCAUAUUCUACCCUAUAAAAUUAACUUUAAAAACCUAAUAUUUAUUUUUUCUAAGAUCUUUGUAAUACUAAUAUAUUACUAUAUAAAUUAGUUUUCUAUUUAUUUUACGAAUACUAUAUAAAUUAGUUGCUUUUUCUUCUCUUUGUCGACAAUUUUUUUCUUGCUGAAUACUAAGAUAUUCCUUUGUUGGCAUUUGUUGGCAUUAUCUUUGUUGUGUCGACUUUGUCAACCAAUAGAAAUGGACACCAAUUUUUGCUUUUAUAAUGGUGGCAAACGUUGCAGCAGACAAUUAUUGAUACUGGAGAAAUAUUCACCAAUGGAUGCUCAUUGGUUUUCUAUUGAAGUAGGAGAAUUUUAGUAGUUUCGGAUCAACUUGAGAAAGACCUUUUUAAAAUAAAUCUAAGACAAAUCACAUUUUCUAUUCUUCUUAUUUGUUUGUAAUAUUAGAUUAGGCAUCUCUAAUAGGUUUAUCUUUAUCUUUAGAGAUUUACUUUUCCCACCUUACUGCUUUCUCGCGCGCCCUGCAAAAAUUUCAAAAAUAUCUCUGAUCCGGGCUAUAUAAUCAGGACAAUAUUGUUAUUGAUUUCCGGAAAACGAAAUUCGGACCAUAUUGUUAUGUGCUUUUUAGUGUCUUUCUUUGAUGUCAAGGGUCUCUGUUGAUCGUUAUAUGAACGCCACACAAGCUGCAAUGCAAUUGCAGGGUUCAUAUGAACGGUCAACAAUCACCAAGACACCACCGACACCCCUAAAAAACUAAAAACAUUUGAAGAAAAUGGAAGAAAAGAGGUGAAGUGAAGAAUGAAAGUAUUUUUUGAAGAUGAAAGCCUAUUUAUAGCCUAAAACAAGUCCUAGGUCAUUAGUACAAUCAAUGAAAACGUGUUAGUGGUUGUAACCGUCCAAACAUACAUUAAUGACUCCACACAAAAGAAUCCAAUGCUGAAGCUUUCCAGAUUAUACAUUCUGGAAUUUCCUUAACCCUACAAGAAGUGCAAACUUUUCUCUUGUUCACCAGUAUCGUAUUAAUCCGGAAAAUAUAUUCUGGAAAACAAAGGUACAUUCCAGAUUAUAUUUUCCGGACUGCAUCAGUAUCAUGGCCGAUGGUUUGCACCACAUGUUUUUGUCGGUGGUCAAGUAAAAAAACGUGUUUUACCACGUUUUUUAACUACAUUUAUAUGACCUCCCAGCCGUUUUUGACCCACCCUCCCUAUAAAUAGCCUUCCAAACCCCACCAUUUCUCACACCAUCCUCUCCCACCCUCUCCUCCUCUUCUUCCUUCUACAACGUCCAUGGUUUUCCAUCGUUGGCCUUUCAUAGAUAAGGGUCUCGUUGAAAACUUUAAGGGUUUGUAUGAACGGUCAAUGAGGAUGGAACCGCGCUGCAAAAAAGUGCGGUUCAUCUGGGGGUCAUGUGGGUCAGUGUGGUUCUUAGCUUGGCAUGUCUAGGCAUAAGUUUGAGCACCCCCUACCACCCUCAGGGGCAUUGUUUUCUUCUUCCCGCCCUCCUCUUCCCUCCUCCCCUGGUUGCCCUCCAACAAGGAAGCUAUUGGUAUGUCCUAUCACAUACAAGUGGUUAGGCUCUUAGGAGAUUAAAAAUUGAUUUAGGUUCUUAUGUAAUAAGCUUAAAAAGCUUCAACGUUAUUGUAAUGUAUUGUUCAUAUAUUAAUAAAAUGAGUUUUUUUUUUAUAUUUUUUUUUAUCUUUUUGUCUUUUUUUUUUUGGUUUAUAUGUUUAUUUGCAUUUAUUUGACGAAUUUCAAAGCUUAAAAUUGAAAAAGUUAUGGAAAAAGACCUUUCCGAAUUUUAAUAUCCGGAUUAAUCUGCAAAAUUCUAACAAUCAUUUUCAAAAAAUAUAAUCCGGACUAGGGAAAAGUAAAUCUUUUAUCUUUAUAAUAACAUUCAAAGAGUUCCGUAAAAAUGACUUAAUCCAAAAUAAGUGUUCCUAAGCACACCCUCAUUAGAAUCUUCCCAUGUGACAAUCACCCCACCAAGAUAAAGAGAUAACAAUUUUGACAUUUUAUAACAUAAAGAUUUAAAUCGGGAAAAUAAUAAUAAGAUAAAUGACGAAUGUAUUACCUAAUUAUAACAAAAAUAAUUAAAUCGAGAAAUAAAGAUAAAAAAUGAAAAUGUUAUAUAAAAUUAUGUUAAGCAACAAAUUGUGUAAUUUUGUUUAGAAUUUUAAUUGUCCCUAAUUCCUAAAAAGCUGUUGAAUAUUAGAAUCAAUCAUGCACUCUUCAAUAUGAUACAUACAAUAAUAGUACACUAUGCCUCCAAGUACAAUGGGCCUCCUUAUUGGAAUCAAUCUUUACACUUCUUAAAUUUCUCUUUUUUUUUUCAACUUUUGUUGGUCCAACGGCAGUUAAUUGUCGUUCGGCUAUCCAUUAUCAGUUAACCGUCGUUUGGUACUUUAGAUCGGUUUUCUAGCUUAAUGCAACCCAAAUCAACCAAACUUUAUGAGAAUGCGAAUCUUUUCCCAAGAAAUUGAAUGGGAUUCGGUUUAUAUUCUAAUUAUUUCCCAAAAUUAAUCCUGCAUUUUCUAUUUAUUUAUCACAAAUAUGCAUAGAUAACAAAAUUGAUUGCAUAACAUAUGUAGAAAUUGCUUGGAUAACUGAUUUAGCUAAAAUAAUCCUUCCUACAAAAGAGAAGGUUUUUGACUUCCAUUUACUUAGCCGCUCGUCCACCUUUUCAAUAAUGAACUGAAAUGAUCUCUUGAGCACUCUUUUGCGAAAGAGGGCCACAACCAAGUAUUUUCUAUGAUCUUUGGUGCUAUGGAAACCAGCAACUUCACAAAUUUGCAGAAGGAGGUUCCACAUAACAUUCAUGGAGAAGAAAAAUCCAGUCUUGUCCUUGCUCAAUUUUUGAUGCCUACAAAAUAAAUCCAAAAUAAUGUUAAUAUAAUUAAUCAGCUCCAAAUUUGCUUAAAAAAAUAGGAGCAAAUAAUCCAAAAAUGCUAAAUGUUCUAAUUUUGGAGCACCUCUAUUAAUUUGAAUUGGUUUCCACAUGUCUUUCUGCACCGCCAAAUUUAUCAGAUGGAAAAGUCUCUAAAUGCACAGGACAAAAGGAUAUGGUGAUAGAGGAUCUCCAUGACGGAUUCCCAUAGACGGAAAUAAACAAUUAGGGCUUUCUCAUUCCAAAGCUACUGUAUCCUUGCUGUUGAAAUACACAUGUAUACACAAGUAAAAAGUGUGCAUUUACACUUAAAUUGUUAAAUGUUUCACUCAAUCCAUAAAAUAUACUAACAUCUAUGUCAACGUAAACAUACAUCCAAGCAUAUUCAUAAGAUAAUAUCAAGCAUGGAUCACUAAGGAAUUUAUCAGGAUUACAAUGAGGCUGAUCUACAAAAAAAUCAUUGUUUUUCUAGAUAGCGAUCAAGAAGCUUAAGAAUAAGGGAGCAUUUAUUUCCUAUGUACAUAAAUAUAUAAUCCUAUAUACAACCAAUUAUAAACUAUAUACAACAUACACAACUUCUAUAUACAAAAAUCUACAAAUCCCUUAAUUUCUUGCAAAUAACCUUAUUUGGAGUAAGAAAUGGUCGUUAAUAAAAAGCAUCAAGUCAGUGUAGACUAAAACUUUGCCAACUCCAGCUCAACCCCUUCUUCAACUUCUGGAUCUAGCCAAGCAAGUCUACCGAUUUGAGCUACUGCAAAUUCAAAAUUCGGUCUGCACCAUGCAAAAGGUGGAAUACCAAAUACCUCAAGACAUACACUUCUUCUCCUUUGACCGUUUCUAACAGUGAGGCACUUGCUCUCCAUUGUUUCUUCCAACACCUUGAGAGUCACUUUGAUGUUUGCAACACAUGAGAAGCUUGCUAGAAACUUAAACUCUCUAAUGCUCCUAACCUUUUCUGCACAGAGUUUCCAUCUCCCAAGCAUUUACAUGACUUCUUAUGAUGUUAUAGAGUUUCCUCACUUUUGUACCAAAAAAAUACGGAACACUAAAUUUGGUAAUAUAAAAUAAAUUUCUCUUCCGCGAGUGGUUUCUCCGGACAAAAAUACUUGAUUGAUAGAAAUGUUAGGAUAGUUAGAGCUUAGCUGUUUUAGUCUUUGUUGUUUUAGCCUAUGUCUCUUGAGAUUACUUGUAAUGCAAGUCAUCUAGCCUUGAGCUUUCCAUCUUGAUGCUUAGCUAUAAAUAAGCUCCCCUUUGUAGUUUGAGAUAAUGAAUGAAAUCAAUAUUUUCACAUUACAAGAAAACAGGCUGAUAUGACCCGCUGUGACAUUCAACUAUUUAUCGCGUUACAAUUUAUAUGACUUAUGAUAUUAAGGAAAAGAAACCCUGUGAUAAUUUUGAUAUUGAUUCAUUAAGGAAAAGAACUUAUGAUAUAAAACAAAGUUCUUUGCAAUACAGAAACUUAAUGCAUUUAUUUGUUAUACAACUUUUUAUGCAGUUGGUUAUAUUUUAAAAUGUUCGUUGAAAAGACCAUAUAAAUAAAAUGAUAAAAUCAUUUGCAGUUGCAGCUCAUAACAUAAGGAGAAGAACCCAAAUAAUAACUUCAUGAAUUUAAUAAUUUAUCAAAAAAUGUAAAAUACAAUAAUAAAUGAAAGCACGCUAUGUUUUGAUUUAUACUUGUGGUUUAUACUAUACCACAAGUUUGUGUGUAUAUGUGCACAUUUAUAUAUGUGCUCUUAUUUUAUAUAAAGACAUAAGUUCAAUAAUUUAAAAUGGCAUAUUUGUUUGGUCAUGGAGUUCAAGCUGAUGGACAGAAGGUGAUGGCGUAGUCGGGUCUUGCAAAGCAAGUGAAAGUGCUGCUCUUAUCGUCGUAAGCAUAGCUAUAAGCACCGGGGCAUUGGUUCUUGAAAAUCAUAGAGUAGUUUGUGGGUGGACAUUUUUCUUCAGUAUUGAAAUCUCCACGACAACAAUAUUUAUCUUCAUUUAAAGCCAAACAAGCACUCUUACAGGCAAUCACACUCCCAUCAGUACCAAUAACUUGGAGCUCUGAAGGGCACACAACAUUAAUGUUCCCUGGACAACUGGAGGUUUUGCAGUCACCACUCCCACCUUGUGGCGUUACAGACAUUGGCACGUUGAAUCCGUCCACAUUGCUCACAUCGUAGAAGUCUUGUCCCCCGUCUGUUGCUACCGUUAUUUCUACCAAUGUUGCUGGUGGGAUUGCCCCAGCACCGUUGCAACCGACUUGACCAGAGGCACAAUCGGCGGUGGCACAGCUGAACUUUCCAUUGUUGUUGAAGCAUCCGGUUCGGCCCCAAAAUCUACCCGACCAUGGUGAUGGAAGGUCCACUGAAAUAGUAACUCCAGAUCCCAACUCGAAACCUGUCGUUGAUAGCUGAGGUUUUUGGUCUCCGGUUAACGUUCCUGGCCAUACAGUGUAUUCACACCUAUUUGUGAAAGUCACCUUAGCUCCUCCAACCACUGCAUAUACAAAUACAAAUGAAUUUAAUAAGCGCAUGAAGAGAAAUUAACUUAGCUAAGUGAAUUGAUUAAUUAUAUGGAAAAUUAAUGUAGUUAUGUAU